UAAUUACAUACCAUUCUCUAUGGUACCUUCUAUGGUAACCUUCGGUUCAGGUAUAAAUAAGAACUAACUAUUAUAAGGAUAGACCGACCAUCCCUAGAGCAAAUAACAAAGGAUUUGAAGAUUGGUACCCGAGACCCAAGUUCGAAUCCUAGUUGAUUCACAUUUCUAGCUAAGUUUAUUUCUAAAUGAAAUAAACGAAGCGGGUAGCGUGUUAUCUAUCUCUCUCAAAAAAAAAAAACUAUUAUAAGGAUAGAUACAAAUAUGAGAAUAAGAAAAAUAACGUUUGGAUCAAAAUUGGAUUGUUUCCGAAAAUAAGAAAAAUAACGUUUGGAUAGAUAAUAUGGAAUAAGAAAAAUAAUGGGUAAUUUUAUUUUCUAUUAGUGGGGAUAGUUAUACCUGGUUAUUAUACGUAACCGAGAACUAUUAUUUUCGGAUAAAAUAAUAGCAUUUCGGUAUAAAAGGGAUAAGGGAUUAUCCCUAUCCCUAUCCUCUAUCCAAACGGUGCCUAUGAAUGUAGAUAUAUUUCUUAAAAAAGUUCAGUAAUAUUCAUAUUUGUUUCUCUUAUUUAUUACCAUUAGAGCACGCAAAAUAUAAACAAAAUAGUAUUUUUGUCAUUAUAAAUAUGCUCCUUCAGAAACUCCAAUUGUUAAAAUCAUAUAGAAAUAUUUUUUAAAAAAAUUUCAAUGAUUAUUUUCUUUAUUUCUGCCAUCACAAACAAUAUAAGAGGGGUUAAAAAAAAUUAAUUCACCUUAUUCGCUAACAAAUUAAAAAGUUAGAUAAUAAGAUUAAAGUUUGGAAAUGUUGGAUAAU
rnacentral:lncRNA from 1 species